rnacentral:rRNA from 1 species
CGGGUGAGCAACACGUAUGCAACCUGCCUGCCACAGCCGGAUAAUCGGGAGAAAUUCCGUCUAAUACGGCAUAAUGCAUCGACGGGACAUCCUGUUGGUGCCAAAGGUUAAUUCCGGUGGCGGAUGGGCAUGCGUCGCAUUAGUUAGUUGGCGGUGUAACGGACCACCAAGACGACGAUGCGUAGGGGUUCUGAGAGGAAGGUCCCCCACACUGGUACUGAGACACGGACCAGACUCCUACGGAAGGCAGCAG